rnacentral:lncRNA from 1 species
CAUAGCCGCGUCCCGUCUCGUCAAGCAGCACGGGUCGCCUCCGGUUUCCCAAGGUCACGGCCGUGCUGAGCGGCCAGUACGAGUGCUCGGGAUACGUCCGGCUGCCACGGCGCGAGGUGAUCAUCAAAGUUCGUCACGAGAUCCAAGUGUUCGAGAGCGACAAGAACGGAACCGGAUGCCGCGUGGGAUAUGUCGUCAGCGACCGGCGCUGCUACGUCUGCCUGCCCGGGUCCUUCAGCCCUGGCGGCGUGUUCCGCAACUGCAUCCCCUGCGACUUCGGCUUCUACACCGAGCAGCACGGCUCCCCCUUCUGCCUUUGGUGUCCACCGGGCAAGUCCACCUAUCGGCAGGGAAGCACCUCGCCCAAUGAUU